rnacentral:pre_miRNA from 1 species
CUCUGGAUUAGGCUUUGGCUUAAGGGGAUGUUGUGGCUGGUUGGAUCUUCUAUCCAGACCACUGAAACUCUCUCCAUAGUAGC